UCGAACGGACCCAUAUUGAAACCUAGUGAUAUAUGGGUUAGUGGCGGACGGGUGAGUAACGCGUGGGUAACCUGCCUUACACAGGGGGAUAACACUUAGAAAUAGGUGCUAAAACCGCAUAAGCGCACAGCUUCGCAUGAAGCGGUGUGAAAAACUCCGGUGGUGUAAGAUGGACCCGCGUCUGAUUAGCUUGUUGGCGGGGUAACGGCCCACCAAGGCGACGAUCAGUAGCCGGCCUGAGAGGGCGGACGGCCACAUUGGGACUGAGACACGGCCCAGACUCCUACGGGAGGCAGCAGUGGGGAAUAUUGCACAAUGGGGGAAACCCUGAUGCAGCGACGCCGCGUGAGUGAAGAAGUAAUUCGUUACGUAAAGCUCUAUCAGCAGGGAAGAAAAUGACGGUACCUGAGUAAGAAGCCCCGGCUAACUACGUGCCAGCAGCCGCGGUAAUACGUAGGGGGCAAGCGUUAUCCGGAUUUACUGGGUGUAAAGGGAGCGUAGACGGUGCGCCAAGUCUGGAGUGAAAUGCCGCAGCUUAACUGCGGAACUGCUUUGGAAACUGGCGAACUAGAGUGCGGGAGGGGUAAGCGGAAUUCCUAGUGUAGCGGUGAAAUGCGUAGAUAUU
rnacentral:rRNA from 1 species